UGGGAUAUAGCUUAGUGGCAAAGUGCUUGCCUAGCAAGUGCAGCAUUCUGGGUUCGAUCCCCAGUACCAG
rfam:Dipodomys ordii contig_13885, whole genome shotgun sequence.